AAACUGAGAAAAAUGCCUGAAAAGGGAAUAGAUAAAUCAGUUUUAGAUUAAUCCGCUUCCACUAAAAAAUUCCUCAGCACAGCUAAGAGUUAAACUACUGUUGCACAUCCAGUUGCGACCUAAAGGUUAAAUCCGCAUUCAAAAGCUUAUUUUCUCUUUCUUUCCUUUAUCUGGCAGCAAUCAAAGAGAAAACGAACCUUGAUUAUUCAAAUUGACAGAACACCUACAGCUUUACCAAACAUUGCACAACAUAAAUAUCGAAGCAAUUUUUGAUAUCAUUGCAUCGAACCUAAACUAACACAUAUUUACAAUGUUAAAUCAAUAUCUAAUUUACAAUUUAACAAUGGUAUUCAAAAG
rnacentral:misc_RNA from 1 species